rnacentral:rRNA from 1 species
UACGGGGGGGGCAAGCGUUGUUCGGAAUUACUGGGCGUAAAGGGCUCGUAGGCGGCCAAUUAAGUCAUACGUGAAAUCCCUCGGCUUAACCGGGGAACUGCGUCUGAUACUGGAUGGCUUGAGUUCGGGAGAGGGAUGCGGAAUUCCAGGUGUAGCGGUGAAAUGCGUAGAUAUCUGGAGGAACACCGGUGGCGAAGGCGGCAUCCUGGACCGACACUGACGCUGAGGAGCGAAAGCCAGGGGAGCAAACGGG